rnacentral:rRNA from 1 species
UACGUAGGGGGGCUAGCGUUGUCCGGAAUCAUUGGGCGUAAAGCGCGCGUAGGCGGCCCGGUAAGUCCGCUGUGAAAGUCCAGGGCUCAACCCUGGAAAGCCGGUGGAUACUGCCGGGCUAGAGUCCGGGAGAGGCGAGUGGAAUUCCUGGGUGUAGCGGUGGAAUGCGCAGAUAUCAGGAGGAACACCUAAGGCGAAGGCAGCUCGCUGGAACGGUACUGACGCUGAGGCGCGAAAGCGUGGGGAGCAAACAGG